rnacentral:lncRNA from 1 species
ACUACACAUGUUCAUGAAGUUAAAUCUUCCAUUGGUUUGCAACCUUAGUAUUUCAUCCCAAUCUGAAUCUGACAUGGUCUGAAGAAAGCGUAAUAUUAGAGAACCAAGAACAUAAAAAAGAAUUGGAGAAAACAAACCAAAAAACAUUUUGACAAACAAUUCAAAUAGGUAUGUUAUGGAUGCACCAAAAAAUGAAAAGAAAAGAUUAAAGAAUCACCUUUUAUUCGAAAAAGAAGAAAGUUAGUGAUCCAGCCGGUUGACCAAACGCAAGAACGUUGCCUCGUCACAAACUACUCUCACCAGCUUCAACGCCACGUGUACUUCAAGUCUUCGUUCCAAUUUUAUUGGAUGUCAACUAA